rnacentral:lncRNA from 1 species
AGUCAUUGUAGUUCUAUUUUAGUCAUUGUUGUUCUAUUUUAGUCAUUGUAGUUCUAUUUUAGUCAUUGUAGUUCUAUUUUAGUCAUUGUAGUUCUAUUUUAGUCAUUGUUGUUCUAUUUUAGUCAUUGUAGUUCUAUUUUAGUCAUUGUAGUUCUAUUUUAGUCAUUGUAGUUUUCCUGUUUUAUUAAACAGCUCAAACAAACCUCAGUCACAUAACUUCCACUCUCUGCCAUCUCAGUCACAUAGCUUCCACUCUCUCAGUCACAUAGCUUCCACUCUC